GGAGUUCGCGGGAGAGUAAGUUAUUGCCAGGGUUUUUAUUUUAUACUUUAAACAUUGAUUUUAUUUUUUAUGUUUUUAGAUGUUCAUGUUUUUGAAUGUUUUAUUUAAAUAAUAUAAAAAAUAAAAUAUAUAUUGACAUGGAUUAAACAAAGAUAUAUAUUAUUCUAUGUUGCAUAAGCAAAUUGGCAAAAUAGAGAUGGAAGAUAAAAAUAUGGUCAAAGUAAUAAGAGUCUAUGGUGAAUGCCUAGGA
rnacentral:misc_RNA from 1 species